AGCAGCCGCGGUAAUUCCAGCUCCAAUAGUGUAUAUUAAAGUUGUUGCAGUUAAAAAGCUCGUAGUUGAAUUUCGGGGUCAGCAGGUUGGUCGUGCCUCUGGUAUGCACUGGUUUCGCUGAUUCCUCCUUUCUGAAGAACUGUAAUGUCAUUAAUUUGGUGUUGCAGGGAAACAGGACUGUUACUUUGAAAAAAUUAGAGUGUUUAAAGCAGGCUAACGCUUGAAUACAUUAGCAUGGAAUAAUGAAAUAGGACGUUUGAUCCUAUUUUGUUGGUUUCUAGGAUUGACGUAAUGAUUAAUAGGGAUAGUUGGGGGCAUUAGUAUUCAAUUGUCAGAGGUGAAAUUCUUGGAUUUAUUGAAGACUAACUACUGCGAAAGCAUUUGCCAAGGAUGUUUUCAUUAAUCAAGAACGAAAGUUAGGGGAUCGAAGACGAUCAGAUACCGUCGUAGUCUUAACCAUAAACUAUGCCGACUAGGGAUCGGAUGAUGUUAAUUUUUUAAUGACUCA
rnacentral:rRNA from 1 species